rnacentral:lncRNA from 1 species
AAUCCGGAUGUCAUUGGUUGGAUCCACCAUCAUCGAAUCACUCUCCUGGGGAAACAAAUUAUUAAGUGCUUAGAGAUACAGCUUUUUGCAUAAGAAUGACUAGUUAUUUCUGUGUGUCAAGGGGAAUCCUAGCAGAAUAAAAACGGAUGGUUUACAAUGUAAAUCCUGAAAGUUAAGUGGUGUCCUAUGUAAGACCAGAUGACACAAACCUGAUAAUGCAUCUCUUGAAGCGUUUGGGGUGAGCCCCGAGGCCUGGGUGCAGGAGUGGUUUACUGAGUGGCAAUCAUCAGCAAUGCCAUCUGGGGCAUUGGAGAAGACCCAUGCUGAGAGGACCUGCGAGAGAGCCAGUGGGUCUCAUCCAAGGCUGGUCUCAAACUCCUGGCCUCAAGUCAUCCUCCUACCUCAGCCUCCCAAGUAGCUGGGACUACAGGCUUGCACUAUUGCACCUGACAGAAUUCCAUCUUUGGAGAAGUUAUAGACACCUAUAAACAUGAUAAUUGGCCUACAAUUCCAAGCUGUCAAGAUAACUAGAGAUUAAAUGUUCAUCCUUCCAGGUUACUAUCUUUUUAUGUACAUUUGGUCACAUAGAGGUGGAGAACUACAUACAGUAUAGCAAAUUAUUCAUCUGGCAGAUGGGUAAAGUGGAAAGAAUGAAAUUAAAUUACAUUAACUUGUUGACCGUGUGAAUUCUG